rnacentral:rRNA from 1 species
AUACAUGCAGUCGAGCGGACAGAAGGGAGCUUGCUCCCGGAUGUUAGCGGCGGACGGGUGAGUAACACGUGGGUAACCUGCCUGUAAGACUGGGAUAACUCCGGGAAACCGGAGCUAAUACCGGAUAGUUCCUUGAACCGCAUGGUUCAAGGAUGAAAGACGGUUUCGGCUGUCACUUACAGAUGGACCCGCGGCGCAUUAGCUAGUUGGUGAGGUAACGGCUCACCAAGGCGACGAUGCGUAGCCGACCUGAGAGGGUGAUCGGCCACACUGGGACUGAGACACGGCCCAGACUCCUACGGGAGGCAGCAGUAGGGAAUCUUCCGCAAUGGACGAAAGUCUGACGGAGCAACGCCGCGUGAGUGAUGAAGGUUUUCGGAUCGUAAAGCUCUGUUGUUAGGGAAGAACAAGUGCAAGAGUAACUGCUUGCACCUUGACGGUACCUAACCAGAAAGCCACGGCUAACUACGUGCCAGCAGCCGCGGUAAUACGUAGGUGGCAAGCGUUGUCCGGAAUUAUUGGGCGUAAAGGGCUCGCAGGCGGUUUCUUAAGUCUGAUGUGAAAGCCCCCGGCUCAACCGGGGAGGGUCAUUGGAAACUGGGAAACUUGAGUGCAGAAGAGGAGAGUGGAAUUCCACGUGUAGCGGUGAAAUGCGUAGAGAUGUGGAGGAACACCAGUGGCGAAGGCGACUCUCUGGUCUGUAACUGACGCUGAGGAGCGAAAGCGUGGGGAGCGAACAGGAUUAGAUACCCUGGUAGUCCACGCCGUAAACGAUGAGUGCUAAGUGUUAGGGGUUUCCGCCCCUUAGUGCUGCAGCUAACGCAUUAAGCACUCCGCCUGGGGAGUACGGUCGCAAGACUGAAACUCAAGGAAUUGACGGGGGCCCGCACAAGCGGUGGAGCAUGUGGUUUAAUUCGGAAGCAACGCGAAGAACCUUACCAGGUCUUGACAUCCUCUGACAACCCUAGAGAUAGGGCUUUCCCUUCGGGA